GGAAUCUUGCGCAAUGGGCGAAAGCCUGACGCAGCGACGCCGCGUGAGCGAGGAAGGCCUUCGGGUCGUAAAGCUCGCUAGUGUGGGAAGAAGGGAUGACGGUACCACACGAAAGCCCCGGCUAACUACGUGCCAGCAGCCGCGGUAAGACGUAGGGGGCGAGCGUUGUCCGGAAUUACUGGGCGUAAAGGGCGCGUAGGCGGCCGUUCAAGUCAGGUGUAAAAUACCCGGGCUCAACCCGGGGAUAGCACUUGAAACUGGGCGGCUAGAGGGCAGGAGAGGGGAGUGGAAUUCCCGGUGUAGCGGUGAAAUGCGUAGAUAUCGGGAGGAAUACCAGUGGCGAAGGCGACUCUCUGGACUGACCCUGACGCUGAGGCGCGAAAGCGUGGGGAGCAAACA
rnacentral:rRNA from 1 species